CCUGAUCAGAGCUACUUGGACUUCAGAUCUUCCUCGGGAAGGUGCGCCAUCUCACGCCCGCCCCGCCGAGCAC
rnacentral:sRNA from 1 species